rnacentral:rRNA from 1 species
CCCUUAGAUGUUCUGGGCCGCACGCGUGCUACACUGAGUGGAUCAGCGGGUCAGGUUACGCGAGAGCGUUUCCUAAUCUUCAAAUCCGCUCGUGAUGGGGAUUGACGGUUGCAAUUUUCCGUCAUGAACGAGGAAUACCUUGUAAGCGCGGGUCAUCAUCCCGCGCUGAAUACGUCCCUGCCCUUUGUACACACCGCCCGUCGCUCCUACCGAUUGAGUGGUCCGGUGAGGCUUUGGGAUCUAAGCGAAAAGAGCGGUUCGCUCCUUUUGCUGGGAGAACUCAGUCGAACCUUAUCAUUUAGAGGAAGGAGAAGUCGUAACA